AACGCACAUUGCGCCCUCUGGUAUUCCGGGGGGCAUGCCUGUUCGAGCGUCAUUAUGACCAAUCACGCAAGUGGUCUUGGGGCUUGCCAGUUGGCAUCCCUUAAAAACAGUGGCAGUGCUAUAGGCUCUCAGCGCAGUAAUUAUUUCGCUCUUGAGUCCUAGACCCACCCGCCAAAACCCCAAUUUUCUUUCAGGUUGACCUCGGAUCAGGUAGGGAUACCCGCUGAACUUAA
rnacentral:misc_RNA from 1 species